rnacentral:rRNA from 1 species
UACGAAGGGAGCUAGCGUUGUUCGGAAUCACUGGGCGUAAAGCGCACGUAGGCGGAUGUGUCAGUCAGGGGUGAAAUCCCGGAGCUCAACUUCGGAACUGCCUUUGAUACAGCACGUCUUGAGUCCGAUAGAGGUGGGUGGAAUUCCUAGUGUAGAGGUGAAAUGCGCAGAUAUCAGGAAGAACACCCGUGGCGAAGGCGGCUCUCUGGGACGGUACUGACGCUGAGACGCGAAAGCGUGGGUAGCAAACAGG